rnacentral:rRNA from 1 species
CCUACGGGAGGCUGCAGUGAGGAAUAUUGGUCAAUGGGCGUAAGCCUGAACCAGCCAAGUCGCGUGAGGGAUGAAGGUUCUAUGGAUCUUAAACCUCUUUUAUAAGGGAAUAAAGUGUGGGACGUGUCCUAUUUUGUAUGUACCUUAUGAAUAAUGAUCGGCUAACUCCGUGCAAUCAGCCGCGGUAAUACGGAGGAUCCGAGCGUUAUCAGGAUUUAUUGGGUUUAAAGUUUGCGUAGGCGGCCGUUUAAGUCAGCUGUGAAAGUAUGUGGCUAAACCAUAGAAUUGCCGUUGAAACUGGGGGGCUUGAGUAUGUUUGAGGCAGGCGGAAUGCGUGGUGUAGCGGGGAAAUGCUUAGAUAUCACGCAGAACCCCGAUUGCGAAGGCAGCCUGCCAAGCCAUGACUGACGCUGAUGCACGAAAGCGUGGGGAUCAAACAGGAUUAGAUACCCUGGUAGUC